CAAGGCAGUCUCAGGGGUGCGGACCAUCCCAUCCAGCGCCGCGGGGGCGCCUGGAGCCAGUUACACAGUUGACAGUGCGCUAUGCUAGAUUUGACUAUCGUGGGUUAAGUUGGUGCUGGAACCUUGAAGAAUGGCCCUCUGACGUCAGAGCACAGAGUUGAAACGCAAGCUCACGCAUCUCCUGAUUGGUGCUGCCUAACGUAGGGCCAUGGCUUGGAACUCCCAGCGACUGGUUGGAGCCGAUAUACAUGCUCACGCGGACAAAAGGGACGGGACUGUGUCCCUUGCUACAGCAGGCAAGCUCCUGUCUGCACAAGGACAGUGUCGGCAUAUGGUCCCUAAGGAAAAAGUGACUGGGAGGCGCGCGCGGAGCUGCUCCAUGUACCUGCUAAGAGCUGACGCUAGUUCAGAGCCAGCAUUACAAGAGAGGCAAAGACCUCCCAACACAGUUCACCCCCAUUACCUACCAAUUACCUGGGGCAGGUAGGAUAGUGUCCAGUGAGCAGAAAGUCAGCACUUAGAGAACCGGCAUCCAGCUAGCAUAGCAGGAAAAGCAACCUGACUCCGGAGUCACAUCUGGCCUCUGCACUCCUUGUGCAAUGUCAGCUAGUCAGGUGUUUUCAAAAGCCAGACUCUUAUCUAGAUAGGGCAAUUGCCCACCUCUACCCUGGAUUGCAGAAGGUGGCCACAGAGCACAGCCCGCCCCCAGAACCCUUUAUCAUACCAUCUUGAUAAUUAGCAGGAUAGCUAGUUUAAAAGACUCUAGAAGGAAUAGAGUCCUGUACAAUCCCAGCCUCCUGGUUCUGAUUUUGUCUUGGAACACCCAGAAAUUGCAACAUAGUUAACCAGGCCACCUUCAGAAGUACCUUUGAGAAACAUCACACAAGAUGGAUAAAAUGGCCAGUGAGCUGUGUCUUCAGCCCUAUGCCCCUGUGACAUGUGAUAAGGGUCCCUUUGGAAAUCAGCGCCACCACCGAGUCACCUAUUUACAGUAAAGAGUUUACACUGACA